rnacentral:lncRNA from 1 species
GUAAGUUCCCUGCGGCCUGCCCAUCCAUGCUGAACUGGACCUUGUGACGCUGAUACAGCCAAUGGCCAGGAGAUUUGAGGGGCAGAUUCUGCAUCUAUCCAAAGGGUAGGAUCCUGAUUGUUACACGAACUGUCCACCUCCAUCCAGAGCCGUGUGGCUUGUAGUGCCUUCUCGUGGCAGGUAUAUUUUCCUGCCUGUUCACGUGACUUGUGUUGGCCAGUGGAAUAUAGUUUGAUCUGCAGUAGUUUGAAUCUGAGGAUGCUGAACCUGUGGAUAAGGAGAGCCUACUUUUCUUGGACAAAUGCCCUGUGUCAGAAGAGUGUGGUAAACAGAAGCUCAGCUCCUUCAAGGAUGACAGCCUUGGUUACACCACCAGAACAUUUACUGGUGAUGAGAGACUCUAAAGAAGUCACAGCUUGCUUCCUUUCUGAAGAACGUUGUGAUUUUGGCUCACGUGCAGUGCACGACAACUCUUCUCCAACAGCAUGACAUAGUCCACUGUCUCAGGAUCCCAUUUUUCCACCAGCUGCAGAGCAGGAAGGGACAAAUCAAAGUGUGAGCAUUCGGAUCACCAACGCUGUGACCUCGCUGUGUGAACGGGAGCUACUACAGGAAGGAAGCUUACAAAUGAGCUGCAUGGAUCCCACAUUUUGCUAAAAUCAAAUAGGACCUUUCUCCUCUUUGUUGAAUGCCGUAAUACACAAGAAAUAAGCCAGCAGGAUGCUCAUGUCCAAGGUUUCCCUUUAUCUACCACACGAGUUGGCAUGAAACAACUUCUGGGGUUCAAAUCUUCUGAACAAUGAUACAAGUCUUGGCAAAUUUCAAGAAUAAUUUAAAGAGGAAAUAAAUAGCUUUUUGUUUAACUUGGAUCAAUUAUCUCCUAUUGCUCCCAGCUUCAUGCCAGGUACUCUCCACUGUGCCUGGGAAAUAUGAAUCCCUGCCCUCAUGAAAAAACAUUGGCCAUGAGGAUUUUCCCUACAACCCAAGAACUAUUUGAAGUUUGAAGUCUUUCAGCCCAGACAACACUGGCUAUUUUCACCUUUGCCUUCAACUAUAAAGGCUGGGCUCUCUCUGCAGGAGUGGGUUACUGCUGGCAGAACAGAGAAAGAGAGAGAGCAGGAGAGAGAGAGACAGACAGAAUCCACUAGUAGAAUAAGCCAUGAUCACCACUCAAAACUUUUGCUACUACUUGAUCAGUACCUGGAAUUCUGAGGAAAACCCUAUUAGAGAUUGCAAAUCCAGUAAAUAAAGGCAGCAGUGGUACCUUGUUAAAAACAUCAAAUCCAAAGUGCUCUGAGGAGGAAUAUGUACGGUGUGUUCUAGGGACAGAAAAUAAGACAAACGUGGCUGGAGUAUUGGAAGGGGAAGUGAGUGUUACUAGAGAAGGUCAUGAGGUGAGGCGGGCCAGAUCAUAUGGGUCUGUGUAAGCUAUGGCAAGGAGUGUGGAUUUUAUUCCAAGUAAGAUGGAAAGCCUUUAUGAAGUUUUAAAAACGGCAGUGUUAUGAUUUGUAACAUCUGAGUUUAUGUUUACAUCGUGGCCAAAUUAUUUUAUAAAAUAAUGUAAUAAUGGUUCAACAGUUUGAUUGUGUUGCCCUUAAAAUUUCACAAGACUUAAAAUUUUCUACACUAUUCAUUUCAGUAUUGACUGUAAUUUAAUAACUCAAUUAGUAAUGUUAAAUAAAUUAUUUGUUACUACCUAUUGAAAUUAUAUAUAUAUAUACACACAC